rnacentral:lncRNA from 1 species
GUCAGUCUCUCAUACAUGAGGAUCAUUUCAUAGUUAUUUUUGGUUCUGUGGAAAGAUUUAGUAUGAAUAUUAAUGUGUUCCUGUUUAUGUUUAUGUUUGGUUCAGUGGAAAAUAUAGCAUUAUGUGGUAAACUCUGUAUUGAAUAUGGAUUGUAACAGAGAGUUAUGAUAAGAUCUGGACUGAGGAACUAUUGUGGGAAACAAGUCAAAGUUUGGAAGAGGAGAGGGUGGGAAGAUGUUUGUAGAAAGUUUCUACAAGAAACAAUUUGUAGAAAGUAAAAAUCCUAGCGUAACACAAUAUAUAAAAUAUGUUGUUUUAGAGGUACUUUAAUAUGAGUAAAAUAUGCUGGCUGAGGUGUGUAUGGAUAUGGGGCGUGUAAUGGGUAACCUGCAACAAUGACCCUCUCUAAUCUUGAAUUCUCAGGUCCAAAAAAUGAUUUUUUAAACAUCUAAGCUGUUUUAUAUGUUCAGUUUAUGUAUAAUUUUCAUGCAGCUCAAUGUGUUCUAUUUAUAUAAUUUAAUUUUACAUGAUCAGUUUCUGGAAAAUGUGGGAUUGUAUGAAAGUGUGGAAGAGACUGCUAGAAGGGAGGAGGUCAUGGGAAGGAUGAACCAGGUUUGUUUUUUGGUUCAUUUGUUGCAUUCUUUAAUCUUUUCUGUUUUUUAUCAUGUCUAAUCUGUGAAAUUGACCAGAUUGUGAAGGAUUGGGUGAAAGAGGUCUGUGUCAACAAGGGAUUUAAUGAGCAGCUGGUUGAGGAAGCUAAUGUGAAGAUUUUUACUUUUGGCUCUUACAGAUUGGGAGUAUGUUUGACCUUCGAAUUCUGUUUAUGCAUUUGGUUUUGGUUUCAAAAAUUUCUUACCUACUGAAUUAUGUUUUGCAACAGGUUCACGGUCCUGGGGCAGAUAUUGAUAUGCUAUGCAUAGGCCCCAGAUACAUCACUCGAAAUGUAAGAUAUGAACAUUCUUGUUCAUAAUUAUCUGGAUGAAAUUAGCUGUAUUAGCUAAUAAUAUCUUAUUUGCACUUUUUGCAGGAAGGUUUUUUUGGCAAUCUAUAUGGGAUUCUUGCAAAAAUGCCUGAAGUAGAAGAAUUGCACCCUGUGCCUGAUGCUCAUGUUCCUGUAAUGAAGAUUAAAUUCAACGGCAUUUCUAUUGAUCUCCUUUAUGCAAAACUGGAGCUCUGGACUAUUCCUGAAGUGAGUAUUUGUUUAUGCAUUUAUUGCUGUAGCAAUUCCAUAACAAUAUUUAUAUGAGAUAUGGGUGGGUAGGAGAAAGGUCUCUUGUUUUUAUAUUCGUAGACAUUAAAAUGUUAUAAUUUUCGUUGUUAUAAUUUUAUCUUAUUAUUAUAUGAACUAAUUAAUUUUGUUUUAUCAAUUAAUUUAAAUAAUAAUUUUGGGAAAUUUGUAACUUUAGUGUCUAUGAUGCUAUUUUAUGCGAUUCAUUUUUCUUCAAAGAAUAAGGUGUUGCUAAUUCUCUUAUUGAAUACACUAUAUUUGUGUUGAUGUUUGAGAAAUCUAAGUGCAAACUGAACCAUCGCAGGUUGAUAAAAUAAAAGGUAACAUGUGAUAAAAGAUAACACGCAAACUUUCAUUUGGUUAGUGAAUCCAUAUUUAGAUGAGCUAACAAACUCUCUGAGCAAUUUGAUCAAAAAUAGUUUUAUUUUCAUUUGACUGCUUUUGUGUUUUAGUGCUUCUCUAAAAAGUCCCUUGUUAACUUAGUUAUGAUUAUCCUGUCUGGGGGUCAUUUUACUUUUCUAUUCUUCUGUUAUCUAGUAUAAAUCAGUUGGUUUCUUUCAUUAUUUGACUUCUGCUGAAUUUAAAUACAUGUUGUCUUUCCUAAAAUUUUUACUAGUUCAGUAAUUUAGAUCAUGAAUCAUUUUAUACAUUACUGUUACAGGACUUGGAUAUUUCUUAUGAUUCAAUACUACAAAAUGUGGAUGAGCAGACAGUACGCAGCCUCAAUGGAUGCAGGGUCACUGACCAGAUUUUGCGAUUGGUUCCAAACAUUCAGGUAGAGCUGUUGCAAAACAGGCAUGGGUAGCAUAAAUAAAUUUGUUAUUUCCUGAUAUGCAAUCAAGUUUUAUAGGGUUUACUUGUUUGUCUUUUCUUGUUGUCUCAUCCAGAAUUUCCGUACUACCUUAAGAUGUGUGAGGUUUUGGGCAAAGCAGCGUGGAAUUUAUUCUAAUGUAAGGAAAUUUAAUCAUAUAGUUAAGAAUUUAGCUUGUUCUUAUUUUUCCCCUCUUUCGGGGUUUGUAGUUUGAUGUUGCACUCACUUUUGUUAGUAUCAAUCAGGUCAUAGGAUUUCUUGGUGGAAUAAAUUGGGCAUUGCUAGUUGCUCGUGUCUGCCAACUCUACCCAAAUGCACUUCCCAGUGUUUUGAUUUCCAAGUUCUUCAAAGUAUUCUCACAAUGGCGGUGGCCUAAUCCAGUCAUGUUGUGCCCUUUACAAGAAGGAAACCUGGCUCAUAAAGUUUGGGAUCCAAGAAGAAACCUCCAGGACAGGAAACAUUUAAUGCCGAUAAUAACUCCUGCAUAUCCAUGCAUGAACUCAAGUUACAAUGUCUCAUCAAGCACGUUUGGCAUCAUGCAAAAAGAAUUUCAGAGGGGCAAUGAAAUUUUUGAGGUAUGGUUUUUGUUGAAUAGCAUAUUUUAUUAUUUAAUUAUUUUAAUUUAUUCUUUAAUUAGUUAGUAUUAUAUAAUUAGAAUUUUAUAAAAAUAAAUAUAAUUAGAAGUUUAAUAAAAUAAGAAUUUUUCUAUCAGUAAAUACAAAUUUUAUAAAUACUAUAAGUGUAACAAUUUAAAAAGUAAGAAAAAAAAUUGUUAUUUUUUUUUCAAAAUCAACAGUUUUCCUACGGUAUUUUAUAGUACUAUGGAAUCCUAGACUACACUGUUUUUGUUGUUUGUGAUAGAUGUGAGCCAUUUGUUUUCAUUUUUCUUCUGCUACUCAAUAUAAUUUUAGAUUUUUACCAUUUUCUCCGCCCUUCAGUUCCAUUUAGUUGUGAUACUCUUCAUGUCUGAACAUAUUGCUGUUUAUAAUUUAUAUCAUUCAGUCUUUUAGCAAGACUUGUUAACCUUCAAUCUGUACAAUGAUCAUAGGCUCUGGCAGCAAAGGAAACUUGUUGGACUACUCUCUUUGAGCCUUUCCCUUUUUUUGAAGCAUUCAAGAAUUAUCUGCAGAUAAACAUAACUGCCAGGAACCAUGAUGACUUAAAAAUCUGGAAAGGCUGGGUUGAAUCUCGGCUUCGUUUAUUUAUUCUAAAGGUGGAAAUUUUCUCUUGCUUCUUUCUAUUAGGCUGUUCUAACUUUCAUAUAAUCUCCCACUUUUAUGUAUGAUUUUUAAUCUAGAUUGAGAGGGACACAUGUGGAACGCUUCAAUGCCGUCCUCACCCGGGCAACUUCUCAGACAAAUCAAGGUCAUUCAACAGUUCUUACUUCAUGGGCGUAAGGAGACAAGAUACUUGUGUUCAGGAAGGUCAAUAUUUUGACUUAAGGUUAACCAUUGAGGAAUUUAAGCACUGCCUGCGAACGGUUACCUUAUGGAAACCUGGAAUGAGGAUCACAAUAAGUCACACAACACGCAGAAACGUCCCGGAUUUUGUCUUCCCUGGUGGGGUGCAGCCUAUAAAUAAGACCAAAAAGGUUUAUGGGCCUGCUAAUAGGAAGAAGAGAAAGCGUGAUGAAGGUAGUACCAGCUGUAAUUUGAGAAAAUCUGACUUUGCAACAAAAAGUAAAAAUGCAAAAUUGGUAGAAGAGGCUAUAGCAAGAGGGGGAUGUGAAGUUAAUGGAAAUGGCUCCUUGGAUAUUGAUCAUGGUGUUCCUGUAGAACAUCUCGAAGUUGUUAGUUCUUCUGCUGAAUGCCUGACCUCAAUGAGUGCUUCAUCUGGCUCAUCUGAAGCGGAGAAGAUUUUGCUUACUUGCCAGCAAGCUUCCUCUAAAGAAGUUGAGAAGGUAAACGAUGAUGCAGGAUCAAGGAUUCAAGUCCAGAAUUUUGCUACAAGCUGUACAGUGGAUUUGUCAGAGUCAUUGACUAGAACACAAAAAAGAACUGCAGAGAAAGGAGCCAGCCUAUGCUCUAAUAUUUUGAAGAACACAGAACCAGAGGAACUUGAGGUAUCAUCAACAAACUUUCUUACUGUUUUGACUUGAACACAACUAAUAUUCUGUUUAAAUAAUUUAACUCUUUAGCUACCUUUUGCUCAAAAUUUUAGUUCUACCAAAUAGGAAUAAGAAGAAAUUAGAAAUAAGAAAAAUUUUGGAAGAAGACCUCAAUGUUCAAUUCAAAUUUGGAGAAUUUAUAGUUUCUAUCCUAAAUCAGUUUGAAAAACUACAUAAAUGAGUUACAUUGUUGAAUUGUAAAAUUAUAUACGAAUAUGAUGAUCGAACUACAUGUCAUCUAUCAGUUUAGAGUCAAAUAAAUGAGUCAGAAAUCGUUGGUUUGUAAAUUAUAUAUGAAAAUUACGAUCAAACUGCAUGUUAAAUAAUCAAGUUUUGCGGAAUAUAAUAAUAGAAUGGGAAUAAACAAAGAUUGUCGAAAUCAGAUUUCAUGAAAAACUUUAAGGCUACUGGAUCUAAUUGGUCCUUUUUUCUUUUUUGCUGGUUGGAUACACAGUAAAACCAUUUUGUUUAGACACUCAGUUUUCAUUAUAUUAUCUCGUGAUUAAUUACUAUAGCUCCUCCCAAAAUCCGUAUAUGAUGACCCACAUCUGACUUCGUUUUUCUCUUUUCUGUUGGGAAAUAAAAACAGUCUACUCAACAACCGAAGUCUGCUGCAUGCGUAACUGCAAAAAAGCCUGUCAUCAGGUGAUUUUUCAUGCUUAUAUCGAUCGAAUUAGAUUCAAUUUUCUUGUAAAUAUAGAUAGUUGCGACAUUAUUUACACAUUAUUACCUAUGCAAAUGACAUUUCACUGCAAACUUUUCCUUUCAGGUUUAAUUUCACUUCUUUGGUGAGAGCUGCUUGAAAUGCAUUUUCCUCCAUCUGUUGGACUGACUGUACUAAGCUGAAAUUAGGUUAGAGCUUAGGACUUAACAAAGAACCUUUUUUCCUCCUGUCGGGCAGUUAUCAUAACUCAUGAAUAUGUAAAGAACGGUGUAUAUAAUUUUUUGCCAAUAUGUAAAAAAUUAUAUUUUCUUAAUCUUUCGUGCAGAGGAUAUAUAUACUUGUGCAAAUGCUUAUUAGCGAUAAUUCUAUUCCUAUUUUUUCAUAGCUAGUCGAUGCUGUAUAUUCUUAUUGAAGAAAAAAAAUAUUAGUUAGAUAAAUUUUGGAGAAUCUAUUAUAUUUAGAAUGUGAAAACGUAAUGCGUGAUGUAAAAAUAUAUUAUUUAAUUCGGUAACUUGUUUAUUGAAUAAUUUAAAUUUAAUGAGACAACAAAUUUAUAAAAUAAGUAAUUUAAGUCGUGAUUGUUUGAGAUCCAAACAUUUGAAUUUUAUUGUAGUCAUGACUUGUUUUUAUGGGAUGAAAGAGGAUUAUCUGAUCCAAAUUUAUAAUAUAAUUAAUUAAAUAUAAUAUUAUAUUUUAUAUUGAAAAUAUCUUUUACUAUUUAUAUUAAAAUAUCAGACUAAUUAUGAAAUUCCCUUGAACAUGAAACAUGAAAAAUCUCAUGGCUCCAAAAAUCAAUUCAAGUGGACGUAUUAAACGAGACAUAAAACGAUGUCGUUCUUUUAAGAUCGAUUCAGAUACGCAUGUUAAAAAACAAGAGACAAAACGAUGUCGUUUUCAGUCCCAUCGCAACAAGUGAAAACCACUGCCGUUUUGGAUCUGACAAAUGGCGGCUCAGACACGGGUCGUAUUUUAAACGCGGAUUUGAAAAGUAGAGAGUUGGCGGCGAACGGUGUCGUAUUAAAGACAGUUUCCUUGCAUGUAGUGAAACGGAGCGCCAAUAGUUAACAAGGAAAUACCAGGUGAUUUCCUAUAUAUAUUCGUCACCAUCAACUCACCGCUCGUUUCUUCUCUUUUUUCUAUUUCUUCUCUCCUAAGUUUCUUGAUUUUCUUGUAUUCUGGGUUCGAGCUCUGAACGGCGAUCGUUAAUUUCUAAGCCUUCCACUAAGAAAUUAACAAGGUCGAUUCUGUUGUUUUCGCGGUAUAAGUCCACUAGUUCUUUCGUCCACGAGGAAUAAGGAGAGGAGAUUUGCUUGUUUCGGUUUAUUCUUCCUGAUUCAUUGAGAAGCCGUCUGCAAGCACUUUGGCGCUAAAGUUUUAACCAGUUCAAGGUGAUUCUCAAUUCUUGCUUUAUGUUCGAUUCAAGGUGACUCGAGUCUAGGGUUUUGUUCCGUUCAAGGUGACUCUGGGGUUUUGUUGGAUUCAAGGUGACUCUCAAGAACAGGGUUUUGUUCAAUUCAAGUUUGCGUCGUGCGGUACAUAGAGGAAGAACGAGAUUUCUUGAAUUCUUUGUUGUAAAAUUUGGAAUUAUUCUUGCGAUAUUUGAGCUUUUGAUGUCUGUAUUUGGGAUACUGUUUUUCUUAUUGUAAUUUGGAGAUAUUUCAUUGUUCUUUUUAUCUGUUAUCCUGACUUAACAUAUUGAGAUCUCUCCUGAUUAUCAAAUACGAGAAAGAAUUGUCACAUUUUUAAAGAUUAAUAUAAAUAGAAGAAAAAAGUAAACGAAUUUUACCAAGAAACGGAAGAAAGAACGGCUUUCGCUGAAAAAAAAGAAGAAAUAUUUACCAAAAAAAAGAAAGAAAAGGUUUUUCCAAAGAAAAGAAAUUGACUAAAAAAAUAAGAAAUAACGGUAUUCAUUGUACUUACCUGAAUUGCGCUGAAGAAAAAUAUUAGUUUAAUAAUAUUUCUAGAAGGGAGAAGAUGGGUGUUUCUUCGGCCACCAAGGAAUCAAGGAUGGGACUGACGGAGCCAAUAUCUACUGCGGGUCCAACUGAGCUCGAUCGGACUAGAAAUUAUGAACUGGAAAAGGUCAGUCUCUCAUACAUGAUGAUCGUUUCAUAGUUAAUUUCGGUUCUGUGAAAGAUUUAGUAUGAAUAUUAAAGUGUUCCUGUCUAUGUUUAUGUUUGGUUCGGUAGAAAAUAUAGCAUUAUAUGGUAAACUCUGUGUUGAAUAUGGAUUGUAACAGACAGUUAUGAUAAGAUCUGGAUUGAGAAACUAUGGUGGGAAACAGGUGGAAAUUUGGAAGAGGAGAGGGUGGGAAGAUGUUUGUAGAAAGUUUCUAUAAAAAACAAUUUGUAGAAAGUUAAAAUCCUAGCAUAACACAAUAUAUAAAAUACCCUGUUUUAUAGAGGUACUUUAAUAUGAGUAAAAUAUGCUGGCUGAGAUGUGUAUGGAUAUGGGGCAUGUAAUGGGUAACCUGCAACAAUGACCCUCUCUAAUCUUGAAUUCUCAGGUCCAAAAAAUGAUUUUUUAAACAUCUAAGCUGUUUUAUAUGUUCAGUUUAUGUAUAAUUUUCAUGCAGCUAAAUGUGUUCUAUUUAUAUAAUUUAAUUUUACAUGAUCAG